rnacentral:tRNA from 1 species
GGGCUCUGAGCUCAGUGGUAGAGCGCGCCCCUGAUAAGCGAUGAUUUACUUCACGGGCGAGGUCUCUGGUUC